rnacentral:rRNA from 2 species
AGGUUAAGUUACAAAGGGCGCACGGUGGAUGCCUUGGCACUAGGAGCCGAUGAAGGACGGAACUAAUACCGAUAUGCUUCGGGGAGCUAUAAGUAAGCUUUGAUCCGGAGAUUUCCGAAUGGGGGAACCCAGUACACAUCAGUGUAUUGCUUGUCAGUGAAUACAUAGCUGGCCGGCGGCAGACGCGGGGAACUGAAACAUCUCAGUACCCGCAGGAAGAGAAAGAAAACUCGAUUCCCAUAGUAGCGGCGAGCGAAGUGGGAAGAGCCCAAACCGAGAAGCUUGCUUCUCGGGGUUGUAGGACUGGACAUUGGAGUUACCAAAGUCCGACGUAGUCGAAGUCAGCUGGAAAGCUGCGCCACAGAAGGUGAAAGCCCUGUAAGCGAAACGUCGAACCCUCCGUCCAGGAUCCUGAGUACGGCGGAACACGUGAAAUUCCGUCGGAAUCCGGGAGGACCAUCUCCCAAGGCUAAAUACUCCCUAGUGACCGAUAGUGAACCAGUACCGUGAGGGAAAGGUGAAAAGCACCCCGGAAGGGGAGUGAAACAGUUCCUGAAACCGUGUGCCUACAAUUAGUCAAAGCCCGUUAA